AAACACACAUCGAAUAGCAAUUAAAGCACAAGAAUGGGAAUAAGAGUCAAGAAGAACAAUGGAAGAAACAUCACCAAAUCAAGAAGCAGAGGUUUCAAAUGAGAGGAGUGCCACUUUUUAUCUUCACCAUCCAUGUUCUUUACUCCAAAAAUUCCUUGGAACUUUCUUCAAAUGUACAACAAAAAAGAACAUGAUCAAGAGGAUCUUGGAACUAAACAUGGCAAAGCAAGAAGUGAACAUGAAAAUAGCAGAAGCAGAUCAGUUAUUAGCGAGGGAGAUGGUCCACAGAUUAAUUAAUUAAUCCUUGCUCACAAAUAUCUCAAAGCUAGUUAUUUCUCAUGUACUAAUUUAGUCUAGUGAUUUGCUUUCUCUAAUAUUUCAGCAUUUCCUUAAAACUCUAUCAUUUCCUAUGUAAAAUCUUCUUCUAUGUAAGAACUUUUGCAUGUGUGUUGAAAUUAUUAGCUAUUUAUGCAUGACAAUUCUCACUUUAGAUCUGA